rnacentral:misc_RNA from 1 species
GUAAGAACUCAAGGGAUAAUAACACAAACUAGGAUUGCUCGCAGUAUUACUGUAAAAGAUGUGAUCGCCGUCCUAGAAAGAGAACCUCAAAUGUCUAAGUCUACACUGAUAUACCGCUUGUAUGAGAAAGCUCGUUCCAAUGCUUCAUCAGCUGAAUCAUCCUGAUUUCCAGAAGCACCAUAAAUCUUUAGCCCUCUUUUUUUCCUUUUGAUAAGAAUUUGUAAAUCUUGUUUAUGAUCAUGACA